rnacentral:rRNA from 1 species
CGGUAAUACGUAGGUGGCGAGCGUUGUCCGGAAUUAUUGGGCGUGAGGAGCUCGUAGGCGGUUUGUCGCGUCGGGAGUAGAAACACCGGGCUUAACUCGGUGCUGGCUUCUGAUACGGGCAGACUAGAGGUAUGCAGGGGAGAACGGAAUUCCUGGUGUAGCGGAGUAUAGCGCAGAUAUCAGGAGGAACACCGGUGGCGAAGGCGGUUCUCUGGGCAUGACCUGACGCUGAGGAGCGAAAGUGUGGGGAGCGAACAGGAUUAGAUACCCUGGUAGUCCACACCGUAAACGUUGGGCGCUAGGUGUGGGAUCCAUUCCACGGGUUCCGUGCCGCAGCUAACGCAUUAAGCGCCCCGCCUGGGGAGUACGGCCGCAAGGCUAAA